UUCCGCGCUAAGUGACCGCUCUCGUCGUCAGCUCUGAUGAAAGAUUCUUCGAUCGCCAAUGCGCUCAGUGAUGAACAUUGUAACUACGGAGCGAACAUUUGAAAAUGUGUUACAGGUAUUCUACGUGCUACACAUUUCUAAUUUAUCGCUAAGAAGAGUCGGAUGAGACCACGCGGAUCGGAGUGUUGCGUGCAUCUUGCGUUUUAAAAUUUGUAUGUUAAUCAUACAAGUUUAACGCGCGAGAAGACAGUGUUCGGAAUCAGAGGACACGGACGCAGCCAGAAUUGGUCUGCUAUCCACAAAAAUCGGUCGUUUUCCUUCGGACGAUAAAAAAAAGUCUCCAUUGUUCCUCAAACGGAU